UACGAAGGGGGCUAGCGUUGCUCGGAAUUACUGGGCGUAAAGGGCGCGUAGGCGGAUGUUUAAGUCGGGGGUGAAAGCCCGGGGCUCAACCUCGGAAUUGCCCUCGAUACUGGACAUCUUGAGUUCGGGAGAGGUGAGUGGAAUGCCGAGUGUAGAGGUGAAAUUCGUAGAUAUUCGGCGGAACACCAGUGGCGAAGGCGACUCACUGGCCCGAUACUGACGCUGAGGCGCGAAAGCGUGGGGAGCAAACAGG
rnacentral:rRNA from 1 species